AACCUAGCACACCUGCGGUGUGUACCUGCGGAGGGAUCAUUACAGAGUUGCAAAACUCCCUAAACCAUUGUGAACGUUACCUAAACCGUUGCUUCGGCGGGCGGCCCGGGUCCUUCCCGGCGCCCAUCGGCCCUCGCGGGCGCCCGCCGGAGGUAAACCAAACUAUUGCAUUGUAUGGCCUCUCUGAGUCUUCUGUACUGAAUAAGUCAAAACUUUUAGCAACGGAUCUCAGAUCGGAAG
rnacentral:misc_RNA from 1 species